CACGAGCGCACCCCUNUCCUUAUUUGCCAGCGAGUUAUGUCGGGAACUNUAGGGAGACUGCCGGUGAUAAACCGGAGGAAGGUGGGGACGACGUCAAGUCAUCAUGGCCCUUACGGGAUGGGCUACACACGUGCUACAAUGGCAGAUACAAAGGGUUGCUAACCNGCGAUGGUAUGCGAAUCUCAUAAAGUCUGUCGUAGUCCGGAUCGGAGUCUGCAACUCGACUCCGUGAAGUUGGAAUCGCUAGUAAUCGUGGAUCAGAAUGCCACGGUGAAUACGUUCCCGGGCCUUGCACACACCGCCCGU
rnacentral:rRNA from 1 species